rnacentral:rRNA from 1 species
AACGUAGGAGACGAGCGUUAUCCGGAUUUACUGGGCGUAAAGCGCGUGCAGGCGGUUUAUUAAGUCACUUGUGAAAGCGCCCGGCUCAACUGGGCGAGGCCGUGUGAGACUGAUAGACUUGAGAGAGGUAGAGGCGAAUGGAAUUCCGGGUGGAGUGGUGAAAUGCGUAGAGAUCCGGAGGAACACCAGUGGCGAAGGCGAUCCGCUGGGCCUUCUCUGACGCUCAGACGCGACAGCAUGGGGAGCGAACGGG